GCUCGGGGUGGGAGCGAGCAGCUCGGGGCUGGGGCCCGACCCCGGACCCCGGACCCCGGACCCAGGACCCGCGCCGGGCCGGGGAGACGCUCUCACCGCGGAGAAGCGCCCGGGACGCUGGCCGCUCUCCGCCUCCUCCCUGGCAGACUGCGGCCACUGGAGCCCACGCGCGAUCCCAAUGUAGGCCGGCUUGCGGCCGGCACACACUGAGGAAAGAAUUUGAUGAGGGAUUGCUGGCACGCAGUGCCCUCACAGAGACCAAGGUUCAAGCAGUUGGUAGAAGACUUUUUUUUUAAUAAAAAAAGAAUUUGAUAAA